ensembl:lncRNA
GGGAGUGAUAGGAAUGGACCAGUCAUUCAGCAUGGGAGUGAUAGGAAUGGACCAGUCAUUCAGCAUGGGAGUGACAGGAAUGGGCCAGUCAUUCAGCAUGGGAGUGACAGGAAUGGACCAGUCAUUCAGCAUGGGAGUGAUAGGAAUGGACCAGUCAUUCAGCAUGGGAGUGAUAGGAACGCAGCUGUCACUCCAAUGCUUCAGCUGCUGGUGGCCGUGCGAUUUUAUGGAACUGGAUGCUUCCGAAUGGUGGAAGGAGACCUUUUUGGACUCCAGAAGUCAAAGCUCAAGUGUAUUCAUAAGGAUAACCAUUCCUGAGGGUAUCUUCUGUCCUCCAUGUCUUGCUGGAAUCUCGAUUCCCAUCCCGGAUUGAAGAAAUCAUUACAGCUCACAUUAUUUUCAAAUAGAAAGCUUGAUAAUUAAAACUCAACGCAAAGAAGCAAAGAGAACACUUUGAGGUGUCCUCUGGAGUGACGGUAAAACCGUUUGCUGCCUGCAUGGAGUCCAUUAACCAGGCUUACCGGGAACACGUGGUGGAGCACUCGGAUACUCCAUGAGGAAAAGCUUUCCCGGAGAAGAAUGUCUAAAUUCUUUUUUUCAUCAAGCCACCGGUUCGAUUACCAAUGGCAGUCACCCUUAAGUACGCA